rnacentral:rRNA from 1 species
GACGAACGCUGGCGGCGUGCUUAACACAUGCAAGUCGAACGAUGAAGAAGAGAAACGCGAACUUCGGUUCAAAUUUCACUUCGGAUUAGUGGCAGACGGGUGAGUAACGCGUGAGCAACCUACCUCUUACAAAGGGGUAGCCUCGGGAAACCGUGAUUAAUACCAUAUGACACAUUCAUAAGGCAUCUUAAGAAUGUUAAAGCUACGGCGGUAAGAGAUGGGCUCGCGUCCCAUUAGCUAGUUGGUGAGGUAACGGCCCACCAAGGCGACGAUGGGUAACCGGCCUGAGAGGGUGAACGGUCACAUUGGAACUGAGACACGGUCCAAACUCCUACGGGAGGCAGCAGUGGGGAAUAUUGCACAAUGGAGGGAACUCUGAUGCAGCGACGCCGCGUGAGCGAUGAAGGAAUUCGUUUCGUAAAGCUCUGUUCUAUGGGAAGAAAAGGACUGUACCAUAGGAGAAAGCCCCGGCUAAAUACGUG